GUGAAGGUCCUUAUGAUGUUAUAAACAUGCUAACAAAAUUAGGGAACGAAAUUUGACCCGUGAUUAAAUGCUUACUCUGAACAAAAAUGCAAUUUUGCGUGUCUUGGUUGAAAAAUUAAAAUAAAUUGUGGCAUCUUCGAAAUUCUAUGAAAUUUUACGGAUUAUUUCUAUGUAUUUUUUAUAGCUCUGCAAAUAAUCAGCUCUAAAUUCUGUUUAGUGGUUGGGAUUUUUGUUGUUUUAUUUAUUUUUUAGUUGUUAGCGCUUUUAAAGCUUUAAAAAUUCAUAAUCAAAUUUUCUUU
rnacentral:lncRNA from 1 species